rnacentral:tRNA from 1 species
GGUCGAUUGGCCCAGUGGUUAAGGCAUCUGCUUUACAACACCUUCGUGCCCCACGGAGAUGCGUAUCGCAGAGGAUCGCAGGUUCGAUCCCUGCAUCGAUCA